rnacentral:rRNA from 1 species
UACGUAGGGUGCGAGCGUUAAUCGGAAUUACUGGGCGUAAAGCGUGCGCAGGCGGCGCGUUAAGACAGGUGUGAAAUCCCCGGGCUUAACCUGGGAAUUGCAUUUGUGACUGCACGGCUAGAGUGUGUCAGAGGGGGGUAGAAUUCCACGUGUAGCAGUGAAAUGCGUAGAUAUGUGGAGGAAUACCGAUGGCGAAGGCAGCCCCCUGGGAUAACACUGACGCUCAUGCACGAAAGCGUGGGGAGCAAACAGG